UAGGGAAUAUUGGUCAAUGGAUGGAGGUCUGAACCAGCCAUGCCGCGUGCAGGAAGAAGGCCUUCUGGGUCGUAAACUGCUUUUGCCAGGGGAUAAAAAGAGCAUGCGUGCUUAAUUGAAGGUACCUGGUGAAUAAGCCACGGCUAACUACGUGCCAGCAGCCGCGGUAAUACGUAGGUGGCAAGCGUUGUCCGGACUUAUUGGGUUUAAAGGGUGCGUAGGUGGUCUAUUAAGUCAGUGCUGAAAUAUCCCGGCUUAACCGGGAGGGUGGCAUUGAUACUGAUGGACUUGAGUAAAGUUGAGGUAGGCGGAAUUGACGGUGUAGCGGUGAAAUGCUUAGAUAUCGACAAGAACACCGAUAGCGAAGGCAGCUUACUAAACUUUAACUGACACUGAUGCACGAAAGUGUGGGGAUCAAACAGGAUUAGAUACCCUGGUAGUCCACACUGUAAACGUUGAUUACUCGAUGUUGACGAUACACAGUCAGCGUCUUAGCGCAAGCGAUAAGUAAUCCACCUGGGGAGUACGCCGGCAACGGUGA
rnacentral:rRNA from 1 species